AGUUCAUUGAUUGACCACCUAGAUGAUUCUGAUGUUUUCCGUGCUUUGUUGAUUUGUUUACAGGUAUGUUUCAAUUGUGUGGUCGUAGAUUUGAACAAGUUCAUUGAUUGACCACCUAGAUGAUUCUGAUGUUUUCCGUGCUUUGUUGAUUUGUUUACAGGCAAAGGAAGACUUUUUGCUUGGGAUACAUGUUGUGAUAGAUAUGCUGUGGUGGAAUCUGCAUUGCCUCCAAGAGUGCCUCUCAUUCCUAAAGGGACUUCCAGAAAAGCGAAGGAAGCUGCUGCAGUUGCGGCUCAAGCUGCUGCUGUUGCUGCCAAUGCAGCAUCCGCAGCCACUGUCCAAGUGCGUAUUUUACUGGAUGAUGGGACCUCUAAUGUUCUGGCACGUUCUAUACAUGGACGCAGUGAGCCGGUUAUUGGCUUGCAUGGUGGUGCAUUGCUUGGUGUAGUAUAUAGAGCAACACGAAGAGUGAGCCCUACCACUGGAACUGCAAUCUCUUCUAUUCAAUAUAUACCUGGCUUUGGACAUGGUGCUCAUUCAUCAUUUACUCCUGUUGACGAUGCCAUGAAGGUCUCAACUGCUGAAAUGUCAACAAACUUUCAAAACUUUGAGCUCUAUAGUUGGGAAACCUGUGAGCACUCUCCUUUCUCAACCAGAAUGGACUGCAUGGGACCAGACUGUCGAAUAUUGUGCAGCAGUAUAUUGUGAUUUCCUCAAUACGUCCUCAGUACAGAUAUCUAGGGGAUGUGGCAAUUCCGUCUGCAGUCAGUAGAGUCUGGCAUCGAAGGCAGUUAUUUGUUGUAACACCAACUGCAAUUGAGAUCCAUUGUUGGGGACUCCAUUCACUUGAGGGGAUCGACAAGGAAUUCUGUUUUAUUGAAGGAUCCAUUGUUGGGGACUUCAUUCACUUGAGGGGAUCGACAAGGACGUCUAUAUGUCGUGGAUGAUCAUUAGAGGAAGUUUCCAUUACUACUAUCUUCAUUCCUAGUAAAUGUUGAUGCCAAAGUUUGGUAUCGCUGUCUGGGGCUUUGUAAAGAGGGUUGAUCCCCUCAUCACCCAAGAGUUGAACUUCAUUCAGUUGCCAUACUUGCUACUUGGAUGUGUUUUUGUAGAUGCUGGUGUACCAUCAAUUGAUCUAGAAACAAUAAAGAAAAAGGAAGAGUUGAAGGCAAAGGAAGCACAUGCUAGAGCUGUAGCUGAGCAUGGGGAGUUAGCACUGAUCGCAGUUGAUGGUCCAAAAGCUGUUACUCACGAAAAGAUACCCUUGAGACCUCCAUUGCUUCAGGUCUGAUAAUUGCAAUUCUUAUGCUUCGUUAUAGUUUAUAAUGUAUUGACAUGCUCCAGAAUCACAUAUACUUAAAGCUCUAUAUUAUGUUGUUCGAUGAUAUUUAUUUUUAAGAUAAUUGAAUGUUGAGGGCAAUUUAGUAUUGACCAAUAAACCUUAAAUCUACUACUUAUUUAUCCUGCUUAUGCGGGCACA